rnacentral:rRNA from 1 species
GUAGGGGGCGAGCGUUGUCCGGAUUUAUUGGGCGUAAAGAGCUCGUAGGCGGUUUGGUUAGUCGGGUGUGAAAUCUCCAGGCUCAACCUGGAGGGGUCAUUCGAUACUGCCAUGACUAGAGUUCGGUAGGGGUGUGUGGAAUUCCUGGUGGAGCGGUGAAAUGCGCAAAGAUCAGGAGGAACACCCGUAGCGAAGGCGGCACACUGGGCCGAUACUGACGCUGAGGAGCGAAAGCGUGGGGAGCGAACAGGAUUAGAUACCCUGGUAGUCCACGCCGUAAACGUUGGGCACUAGGUGUGGGGUUCUAUCGACGGACUCCGUGCCGUAGCUAACGCAUUAAGUGCCCCGCCUGGGGAGUACGGCCGCAAGGCUA